CAACUGCCAGCCUAUGGCCACCAAUUGGAUCCAGGAGAAAGUGUGGCUCUCUCAGGAGGUGGACAAACUGAGAGUGAUGUUCCUGGAGAUGAAAAAUGAGAAGGAAAAACUCAUGAUCAAGUUCCAGAGCCAUGUAAGAAUGUCCAUGCCAUUCCAGGGCCAUUUCCUACCAUCGUUAACAAAUGCCCCGCCAUGUUUCCCCUGUCCUACCAAGUUUGCUCUUUUAUGCAUAGGACUUAUAAAAUCUGUUUGCUUUCUAGAGAAAUAUCCUAGAGGAGAACCUUCGGCGCUCUGACAAGGAGUUAGAAAAACUAGAUGACAUUGUUCAGCAUAUUUAUAAGACCCUGCUCUCUAUUCCAGAGGUGGUGAGGGGAUGCAAAGAACUACAGGGAUUGCUGGAAUUUCUGAGCUAAGAAACUGAAAGCCAGAAUCUGCUUCACCUCUUUUUACCUGCAAUACCCCCUUACCCCAAUACCAAGACCAACUGGCAUAGAGCCAACUGAGAUAAAUGCUAUUUAAAUAAAGUGUAUUUAAUGAAUUUC
rnacentral:lncRNA from 1 species